rnacentral:ncRNA from 1 species
CUGCGGGAGGCUUGGACGCGCGGCCCAGAUUCGUGCCGCCGGGACCGCGCCGAGCCACUGGCGAGACCGACCCGCGGAUGA